AAUCAACGCUGGCGGCGUGCCUCAGACAUGCAGGUCGAACGAUUAAGACUCUCUUCGGAGAGUGUAUAAAGUGGCGCACGGGUGAGUAACACGUAGGUAAUGUACCGAAGGGUGGGGAAUAACUUAGGGAAACUUAAGCUAAUACCGCAUAAUGCAGCGGCUCGACAUCGAGACAGUUGUUAAAGGAGCAAUCCGCCUUUUGAGCAGCCUGCGGCAGAUUAGCUAGUUGGUAAGGUAAUGGCUUACCAAGGCUACGAUCUGUAACCGACCUGAGAGGGUGGUCGGUCACACUGACACUGAAUAACGGGUCAGACUCCUACGGGAGGCAGCAGUCGGGAAUUUUGGGCAAUGGGCGAAAGCCUGACCCAGCAACGCCGCGUGAAGGAUGAAGUAUUUCGGUAUGUAAACUUCGUAAGAAUAGGAAGAAUAAAUGACGGUACUAUUUGUAAGGUACGGCUAACUACGUGCCAGCAGCCGCGGUAAU
rnacentral:rRNA from 1 species